rnacentral:rRNA from 1 species
UACGGGGGGAGCAAGCGUUGUUCGGAUUUACUGGGCGUAAAGGGUGCGUAGGUGGCGCGCUAAGUCAGGUGUGAAAUUUCGGAGCUUAACUCCGAAACUGCAUUUGAUACUGGCGUGCUUGAGGACUGGAGAGGAGACUGGAAUUCACGGUGUAGCAGUGAAAUGCGUAGAGAUCGUGAGGAAGACCAGUGGCGAAGGCGGGUCUCUGGACAGUUCCUGACACUGAGGCACGAAGGCCAGGGGAGCAAACGGG